CCCUCCUUUCUAAGGAGCACCACGAAAAGCACCCCAACUGGUGGGGUGCGAGCCGUGAGGGGUUCUCGUCUGUAGUGGACGAGGGCCGGGUGCAACAACAAGCAAAGCCAGACACACUAUUGGGUCCUGAGGCAACACUCGGACGCUGUUUCGAGGGUUGUCCCACCAUCUUGGUGGUGGGGUGUGGUGUUUGAGAAUUGGAUAGUGGUUGCGAGCAUA
rnacentral:misc_RNA from 1 species